AUGUUACCAAGAACAAAACGAGCGCAAACAAUUCAGACCUACCUCACAGUGACGACGAUGAAGAAAUCCCCUUCUGGCGAAAGUCUCGAUGUACAGUUGCAGUUAAAAACAAACGAAUAUGAAAGUUGUUGUUUGUUGCAGUUUGCAGGUUUUCUGUUGAAGCUACAUCAAAUUCAGAAAUUGAAUGAUGGUUAUGACGUCGAUUCACCGACUCUGGAUGUCGAGGGAUGA